UACGUAGGGGGGCGAGCGUUGUCCGGAUUUACUGGGCGUAAAGCGUGUGUAGGCGGCUUCGCAAGCCGGAUGUGAAAUCCCCGGGCUCAACCUGGGAAUGGCAUUCGGGACUGCAAGGCUGGAGUGCGGCAGAGGAGACUGGAAUUCCUGGUGUAGCAGUGAAAUGCGUAGAUAUCAGGAGGAAUACCGAUGGCGAAGGCAGGUCUCUGGGCUGACACUGACGCUCAUGCACGAAAGCGUGGGGAGCAAACAGG
rnacentral:rRNA from 1 species